GUGGGGGAUAACAUAGGGAAACUUAUGCUAAUACCGCAUACGACCUACGGGUGAAAGCGGGGGAUCGCAAGACCUCGCGCGAUUGGAUGAGCCGAUGUCCGAUUAGCUAGUUGGCGGGGUAAUGGCCCACCAAGGCGACGAUCGGUAGCUGGUCUGAGAGGAUGAUCAGCCACACUGGAACUGAGACACGGCCCAGACUCCUACGGGAGGCAGCAGUGGGGAAUAUUGGACAAUGGGCGCAAGCCUGAUCCAGCCAUGCCGCGUGGGUGAAGAAGGCCUUCGGGUUGUAAAGCCCUUUUGUCCGGAAAGAAAAGCACUGGAUUAAUACUUCGGUGUUCUGACGGUACCGGA
rnacentral:rRNA from 1 species